UGGGGAAUAUUGCACAAUGGGCGCAAGCCUGAUGCAGCGACGCCGCGUGAGGGAUGAAGGCCUUCGGGUUGUAAACCUCUUUCAGCAGGGAAGAAGCGCAAGUGACGGUACCUGCAGAAGAAGCGCCGGCUAACUACGUGCCAGCAGCCGCGGUAAUACGUAGGGCGCAAGCGUUGUCCGGAAUUACUGGGCGUAAAGAGCUCGUAGGCGGUUUGUCGCGUCUGCUGUGAAAACUCGAGGCUCAACCUCGGGCUUGCAGUGGGUACGGGCAGACUAGAGUGCGGUAGGGGAGACUGGAAUUCCUGGUGUAGCGGUGGAAUGCGCAGAUAUCAGGAGGAACACCGAUGGCGAAGGCAGGUCUCUGGGCCGCAACUGACGCUGAGGAGCGAAAGCAUGGGGAGCGAACAGGAUUAGAUACCCUGGUAGUCCAUGCCGUAAACGUUGGGCACUAGGUGUGGGGCUCAUUCCACGAGUUCCGUGCCGCAGCAAACGCAUUAAGUGCCCCGCCUGGGGAGUACGGCCGCAAGGCUAAAACUCAAAGAAAUUGACGGGGGCCCGCACAAGCGGCGGAGCAUGCGGAUUAAUUCGAUGCAACGCGAAGAACCUUACCAAGGCUCGACAUACACCGGAAACUUCCAGAGAUGGUUGCCCCGCAAGGUCGGUGUACAGGUGGUGCAUGGUUGUCGUCAGCUCGUGUCGUGAGAUGUUGGGUUAAGUCCCGCAACGGGCGCAACCCUCGUCCUAUGUUGCCAGCGGGUCAUGCCGGGGACUCAUAGGAGACUGCCGGGGUCAACUCGGAGGAAGG
rnacentral:rRNA from 1 species